GCUGCCGUCGGGAGGCUGCUUCGAGGUUCGAGGCUGUGCCCCGCGACCCCGCCUUCGGCGCUCGGCUCGCAGGAUGGAUCCCGUACCCGGGACAGACUCGGCGCCGCUGGCUGGCCUGGCCUGGUCGUCGGCCUCUGCACCCCCGCCGCGGGGGUUCAGCGCGAUCUCCUGCACCGUCGAGGGGGCACCCGCCAGCUUUGGCAAGAGCUUCGCGCAGAAAUCUGGCUACUUCCUGUGCCUUAGUUCUCUGGGCAGCCUAGAGGUAAGAGGUGCCCACCUUCGGAACCACCAGGGUCUGCCCACCUCCCCUGCCCAUUCACGGUGCCCUAUGCCAGGUGCGCUGUCCCCGCUGCUAGGCCACCCUCGCCGUGUCCCCCUUCCACCCCCAGAACCCGCAGGAGAACGUGGUGGCCGAUAUCCAGAUCGUGGUGGACAAGAGCCCCCUGCCGCUGGGCUUCUCCCCCGUCUGCGACCCCAUGGAUUCCAGUAAGGACUGCUUCGGAGGCGAGAGUUGUCCGGGUCCCUUGCAGGGAGGAGCGGGGGAGGAGGGACGACGGGCGCGCGGUAUCUGA
rnacentral:sRNA from 1 species